rnacentral:rRNA from 1 species
CAAGGCGACGAUCCCUAGCUGGUCUGAGAGGAUGACCAGCCACACUGGAACUGAGACACGGUCCAGACUCCUACGGGAGGCAGCAGUGGGGAAUAUUGCACAAUGGGCGCAAGCCUGAUGCAGCCAUGCCGCGUGUAUGAAGAAGGCCUUCGGGUUGUAAAGUACUUUCAGCGGGGAGGAAGGUGUUGUGGUUAAUAACCGCAGCAAUUGACGUUACCCGCAGAAGAAGCACCGGCUAACUCCGUGCCAGCAGCCGCGGUAAUACGGAGGGUGCAAGCGUUAAUCGGAAUUACUGGGCGUAAAGCGCACGCAGGCGGUCUGUCAAGUCGGAUGUGAAAUCCCCGGGCUCAACCUGGGAACUGCAUUCGAAACUGGCAGGCUUGAGUCUUGUAGAGGGGGG